GUGAAGUGACUGGCAAAGUCUCAGAGAAAGAGAAUGGCAACUAAAAAGCUCAUAUGGAAAGUAAAGCCACAGAGUGGGUUGGGUAAUCUCAGGAGUGUAGUCUGGCAGACACAUGAAGUAGAGCAUGCAUGAAAUGUUCACAGCUACAGACAUGCUCAGAUGCACUCUCUCUUCCUUCAGUGGCAAAGGUGACCCUGAAAGAGCUUCUAACCAAACAGGUGCUUUACCUUCACUUGCUCUCUCCUCCUGGCACUGGGACGUGGAAAGGAAGAGUUAGUCCCUCAGAUGAUAUUGUGACAACUACACUACAUGAAGGCCUGGGAGUGUUACACAAAUAGGAGUCCUUUGUCUUCGGGAAUAAUAAAGCACACUGAGAAAAGAGACACUUAAAUGAAAAAGUUUUAUAGCUCUGUACAACAUACAGAGGUAAGGAACAAAAUGAGUAGUGGAAAUAACACUUAAAGAAUCCAAGGAAAAAUGCAAUCAGAGGCAGAAGGAAAAAUUGGAGAACUUUUAGAAUGGAGUAAGAGCUUGGAGAGAUACUAAUGUACGAGUAUAAAAGUGAUGUGAGAGAAAGGAAGGGAGCAUGCAAACAGUAAAUGACUAAAUGUGAUGAUGCAGGUCAGGUUAUUCUGGCCUUAUCCCAUGCUAGUGGUAUGUUCUUAUUUAGGUGUGUGGCCCUCUUUAGGAGAAAUUUAAACACACACACACACACACACACACACACACAUUACAUGUCAUUACUCCAACUGCAGGUGUAGACACAAUGGAAAGAUUAGGUAUUCUGGGGUUGGAGUGAUACAUGCGACAACCUUCAUGAAAAGGGAACAGUAGGAACUCUUUCGCAGCUUAAGGAAAAUAUUUCUCCAAGAAAAUGUCAGUUGAGAACAGUGUAAGUUUGCCGAGGACUACAGACACCGUCUUUCGUGUAACUUCUUAGCAAAGACCUAUUUCAUCCCCUGCAGAGAAUACCACUCUAAAAUAGUAUCAGAAUUCUAAGAAUUAUUAAAGACUAUACAUUUCCAACCCCCAAUGAUUAGAAUAAAUGUUGUGGCCACAACUGGGCAUUGUUUUACAUGCAAAUUGUUCGAUAUCAUAGCCUUAACUCCUCUUCUGUGACAACAGUCCCUGCCUGGCCUUGCUCAAGUUCCUCCCUUUGUUUCAACUUCAGCUACGCUGAUCUCAUGCUAACCACCUCUUUCUAUGCUUCUAUCUUCUUUCUCUAAGUAUCCUGCUGGCUUCACAUUCUUCCUUAUCUAACCAUGAGUUGCUGGUUUAUUUUAUUAAUCACUCCCUUGUGAGCUUUCUCAAGUUCUUCUAUCCUGUGUCCUUUAAUAACUACACUUCUGGAUCAAUCUAAGUAUUCAGCUUCCCCAUAUGUGGACAGCUGGUAAGUACAACUGCAAGAAACAACCAAACUGCACAUUGCUGCAGCUACAAAUAUACACCAUAGUCAAAUUUAAAUGAAUCCUCAGUAUCUGUAUUCUUAUUUGCCUUAGGUCAACUCGACUUUCUGUUACCCAAAUUUACUAUACAAAAACUUACUUGCUUUUAAGUAUCCUAUUGCACCUUGAAAUAUUUUGUU
rnacentral:lncRNA from 1 species